rnacentral:rRNA from 1 species
AUUGAACGCUGGCGGCAGGCCUAACACAUGCAAGUUGGACGGUAGCACAGAGAGCUUGCUCUCGGGUGACGAGUGGCGGACGGGUGAGUAAUGUCUGGGGAUCUGCCCGGUAGAGGGGGAUAACCACUGGAAACGGUGGCUAAUACCGCAUAACGUCGAAAGACCAAAGAGGGGGACCUUCGGGCCUCUCACUAUCGGAUGAACCCAGAUGGGAUUAGCUAGUAGGCGGGGUAAUGGCCCACCUAGGCGACGAUCCCUAGCUGGUCUGAGAGGAUGACCAGCCACACUGGAACUGAGACACGGUCCAGACUCCUACGGGAGGCAGCAGUGGGGAAUAUUGCACAAUGGGCGCAAGCCUGAUGCAGCCAUGCCGCGUGUAUGAAGAAGGCCUUCGGGUUGUAAAGUACUUUCAGCGGGGAGGAAGGCGGUGCGGUUAAUAACCGCGCCGAUUGACGUUACCCGCAGAAGAAGCACCGGCUAACUCCGUGCCAGCCGCCGCCGUAA